ACGCUGGCGGCGUGCCUAACACAUGCAAGUCGAACGAAGCAAUUAAGAUGAAGUUUUCGGAUGGAAUCUUGAUUGACUGAGUGGCGGACGGGUGAGUAACGCGUGGAUAACCUGCCUCACACUGGGGGAUAACAGUUAGAAAUGACUGCUAAUACCGCAUAAGCGCACAGUGCCGCAUGGCAGUGUGUGAAAAACUCCGGUGGUGUGAGAUGGAUCCGCGUCUGAUUAGCCAGUUGGCGGGGUAACGGCCCACCAAAGCGACGAUCAGUAGCCGACCUGAGAGGGUGACCGGCCACAUUGGGACUGAGACACGGCCCAAACUCCUACGGGAGGCAGCAGUGGGGAAUAUUGCACAAUGGGCGAAAGCCUGAUGCAGCGACGCCGCGUGAGUGAAGAAGUAUUUCGGUAUGUAAAGCUCUAUCAGCAGGGAAGAAAAUGACGGUACCUGACUAAGAAGCCCCGGCUAACUACGUGCCAGCAGCCGCGGUAAUACGUAGGGGGCAAGCGUUAUCCGGAUUUACUGGGUGUAAAGGGAGCGUAGACGGCGAAGCAAGUCUGAAGUGAAAACCCAGGGGCUCAACCCUGGGACUGCUUUGGAAACUGUUUUGCUAGAGUGUCGGAGAGGUAAGUGGAAUUCCUAGUGUAGCGGUGAAAUGCGUAGAUAUUAGGAGGAACACCAGUGGCGAAGGCGGCUUACUGGACGAUAACUGACGUUGAGGCCCGAAAGCGUGGGGAGCAAACAGGAUUAGAUACCCUGAUAGUCCACGCCGUAAACGAUGAAUGCUAGGUGUUGGGGGGCAAAGCCCUUCGGUGCCGCCGCAAACGCAGUAAGCAUUCCACCUGGGGAGUACGUUCGCAAGAAUGAAACUCAAAGGAAUUGACGGGGACCCGCACAAGCGGUGGAGCAUGUGGUUUAAUUCGAAGCAACGCGAAGAACCUUACCAAGUCUUGACAUCCCCCUGACGGGCCGGUAACGCGGCCUUUCCUUCGGGACAGGGGAGACAGGUGGUGCAUGGUUGUCGUCAGCUCGUGUCGUGAGAUGUUGGGUUAAGUCCCGCAACGAGCGCAACCCUUAUCCUUAGUAGCCAGCACGUGAAGGUGGGCACUCUAGGGAGACUGCCAGGGAUAACCUGGAGGAAGGUGGGGAUGACGUCAAAUCAUCAUGCCCCUUAUGAUUUGGGCUACACACGUGCUACAAUGGCGUAAACAAAGGGAAGCGAGACAGUGAUGUGGAGCAAAUCCCAAAAAUAACGUCCCAGUUCGGACUGUAGUCUGCAACCCGACUACACGAAGCUGGAAUCGCUAGUAAUCGCGAAUCAGAAUGUCGCGGUGAAUACGUUCCCGGGUCUUGUACACACCGCCCGUCACACCAUGGGAGUCAGCAACGCCCGAAGUCAGUGACCCAACCGAAAGGAGGGAGCUGCCGAAGGCGGGGCAGGUAACUG
rnacentral:rRNA from 1 species